rnacentral:rRNA from 1 species
AUUGAACGCUGGCGGCAUGCCUUACACAUGCAAGUCGAACGGUAACGGGUCCUUCGGGAUGCCGACGAGUGGCGAACGGGUGAGUAAUAUAUCGGAACGUGCCCAGUAGUGGGGGAUAACUGCUCGAAAGAGCAGCUAAUACCGCAUACGACCUGAGGGUGAAAGGGGGGGAUCGCAAGACCUCUCGCUAUUGGAGCGUCCGAUAUCAGAUUAGCUAGUUGGUGGGGUAAAGGCCUACCAAGGCAACGAUCUGUAGUUGGUCUGAGAGGACGACCAGCCACACUGGGACUGAGACACGGCCCAGACUCCUACGGGAGGCAGCAGUGGGGAAUUUUGGACAAUGGGCGCAAGCCUGAUCCAGCAAUGCCGCGUGCAGGAAGAAGGCCUUCGGGUUGUAAACUGCUUUUGUCAGGGAAGAAAUCUUCUGGGCUAAUACCCCGGGAGGAUGACGGUACCUGAAGAAUAAGCACCGGCUAACUACGUG